rnacentral:rRNA from 1 species
AAUGAACGUUGGCGGCGUGGAUUAGGCAUGCGAGUCGUGCGAGAACCGUAGCAAUACGGGGACAGCGGCGAAAGGGAGAGGAACACGUGGAUACCUACCCUCAGGUUCAGGAUAGCCAUGGGAAACUAUGGGUAAUACUGAAUAAUAUCUCCGGAUCAAAGGUGUGAUUCCGCCGGAGGAGGGGUCCGCGUCCUAUUAGCUAGUUGGUGAGGUAAUGGCUCACCAAGGCGAAGAUGGGUACGGGAUGUGAGAGCAUGAUCCCGCUCAUUGGGACUGAGACACUGCCCAGACACCUACGGGUGGCUGCAGUCGAGAAUCUUCGGCAAUGGGGGAAACCCUGACCGAGCGACGCCGCGUGUGAGAUGAAGGCCUUCGGGUUGUAAAUCACUGUCGUAGGGGAGGAAAUAUUGGUGGGUUCUCCCAUCAGUUGGACCUAUCCUAGGAGGAAGGACGGGCUAAGUUCGUGCCAGCCGCCGCAG